GACGAACGCUGGCGGCGUGCCUAAUACAUGCAAGUCGAACGCUUCUUUCCUCCCGAGUGCUUGCACUCAAUUGGAAAGAGGAGUGGCGGACGGGUGAGUAACACGUGGGUAACCUACCCAUCAGAGGGGGAUAACACUUGGAAACAGGUGCUAAUACCGCAUAACAGUUUAUGCCGCAUGGCAUAAGAGUGAAAGGCGCUUUCGGGUGUCACUGAUGGAUGGACCCGCGGUGCAUUAGCUAGUUGGUGAGGUAACGGCUCACCAAGGCCACGAUGCAUAGCCGACCUGAGAGGGUGAUCGGCCACACUGGGACUGAGACACGGCCCAGACUCCUACGGGAGGCAGCAGUAGGGAAUCUUCGGCAAUGGACGAAAGUCUGACCGAGCAACGCCGCGUGAGUGAAGAAGGUUUUCGGAUCGUAAAACUCUGUUGUUAGAGAAGAACAAGGACGUUAGUAACUGAACGUCCCCUGACGGUAUCUAACCAGAAAGCCACGGCUAACUACGUG
rnacentral:rRNA from 1 species